AUGACAUGUGUCUGUGGUUGUAAGUCGAUGCCAGUCGCAGGCGAAGCGAUCCACGUAAGGGACGGAAAACCGUUCUGAUCAUAGUGCGGCCUAGAAGUAAGUCCUGCCGCAAAAGCGAGAGGAUGAGUAGUGGGGGAUUCGAAUAUCUAAGAGCGAAAAUUCCGGCAGGCGGGUGUGGGGGUAAAAACCAGGUCAGGCAUGUCGA
rnacentral:ncRNA from 33 species